UGAACGCUAGCGGCAGGCUUAACACAUGCAAGUCGAGGGGCAGCAUAAUGGAUAGCAAUAUCUAUGGUGGCGACCGGCGCACGGGUGCGUAACGCGUAUGCAACCUACCUUUAACAGGGGGAUAACACUGAGAAAUUGGUACUAAUACCCCAUAAUAUCAUAGAAGGCAUCUUUUAUGGUUGAAAAUUCCGAUGGUUAGAGAUGGGCAUGCGUUGUAUUAGCUAGUUGGUGGGGUAACGGCUCACCAAGGCGACGAUACAUAGGGGGACUGAGAGGUUAACCCCCCACACUGGUACUGAGACACGGACCAGACUCCUACGGGAGGCAGCAGUGAGGAAUAUUGGUCAAUGGACGCAAGUCUGAACCAGCCAUGCCGCGUGCAGGAUGACGGCUCUAUGAGUUGUAAACUGCUUUUGUACGAGGGUAAACGCAGAUACGUGUAUCUGUCUGAAAGUAUCGUACGAAUAAGGAUCGGCUAACUCCGUGCCAGCAGCCGCGGUAAUACGGAGGAUUCAAGCGUUAUCCGGAUUUAUUGGGUUUAAAGGGUGCGUAGGCGGUUUGAUAAGUUAGAGGUGAAAUUUCGGGGCUCAACCCUGAACGUGCCUCUAAUACUGUUGAGCUAGAGAGUAGUUGCGGUAGGCGGAAUGUAUGGUGUAGCGGUGAAAUGCUUAGAGAUCAUACAGAACACCGAUUGCGAAGGCAGCUUACCAAACUAUAUCUGACGUUGAGGCACGAAAGCGUGGGGAGCAAACAGGAUUAGAUACCCUGGUAGUCCACGCAGUAAACGAUGAUAACUCGUUGUCGGCGAUACACAGUCGGUGACUAAGCGAAAGCGAUAAGUUAUCCACCUGGGGAGUACGUUCGCAAGAAUGAAACUCAAAGGAAUUGACGGGGGCCCGCACAAGCGGAGGAACAUGUG
rnacentral:rRNA from 1 species